AAACGACUCUCGGCAACGGAUAUCUCGGCUCUGGCAUCGAUGAAGAACGUAGCGAAAUGCGAUACUUGGUGUGAAUUGCAGAAUCCCGUGAACCAUCGAGUCUUUGAACGCAAGUUGCGCCCCAAGCCUUCUGGCCGAGGGCACGUCUGCCUGGGUGUCAC
rnacentral:rRNA from 1 species